rnacentral:rRNA from 1 species
AUUGAACGCUGGCGGCAGGCCUAACACAUGCAAGUCGAACGGUAACAGGGAUCAGCUUGCUGCUUCGCUGACGAGUGGCGGGCGGGUGAGUAAUGUCUGGGAAACUGCCUGAUGGAGGGGGAUAACUACUGGAAACGGUAGCUAAUACCGCAUAACGUCGCAAGACCAAAGAGGGGGACCUUCGGGCCUCUUGCCAUCGGAUGUGCCCAGAUGGGAUUAGCUAGUAGGUGGGGUAACGGCUCACCUAGGCGACGAUCCCUAGCUGGUCUGAGAGGAUGACCAGCCACACUGGAACUGAGACACGGUCCAGACUCCUACGGGAGGCAGCAGUGGGGAAUAUUGCACAAUGGGCGCAAGCCUGAUGCAGCCAUGCCGCGUGUAUGAAGAAGGCCUUCGGGUUGUAAAGUACUUUCAGCGGGGAGGAAGGGAGUAAAGUUAAUACCUUGGCGCAUUGACGUUACCCGCAGAAGAAGCACCGGCUAACUCCGUG